UCCGGUUUGACACCGGCAGUCUCCCUAGAGUGCCCGGCAUAACCCGCUGGUAACUAGGGACGAGGGUUGCGCUCGUUGCGGGACUUAACCCAACAUCUCACGACACGAGCUGACGACAGCCAUGCAGCACCUGUGCACAGACCCCGAAAGGCUAUAUCAUCUCUGAUAUAUUCCUGUGCAUGUCAAGCCUGGGUAAGGUUCUUCGCGUUGCAUCGAAUUAAACCACAUGC
rnacentral:misc_RNA from 1 species